CAGAACUUAAGGAAUGACGGGGCCGCACAAGCGGAGGAGCAUGUGGUUUAAUUCGAUGAUACGCGAGGAACCUUACCUGGGCUCGAACGUAAGAUGACUGUAGGUGAAAGCUUACAUCUCUUCGGAGCAUUUUACGAGGUGCUGCAUGGUUGUCGUCAGCUCGUGCCGUGAGGUGUCGGGUUAAGUCCCAUAACGAGCGCAACCCUACCUUUAGUUGCCAUCAGGUAAUGCUGGGGACUCUAAAGGAACUGCCUACGCAAGUAGUGAGGAAGGCGGGGAUGACGUCAAAUCAGCACGGCCCUUACGUCCAGGGCUACACACGUGCUACAAUGGCCGAUACAGAGGGCAGCUACCUGGUGACAGGAUGCAAAUCUCCAAAGUCGGUCUCAGUUCGGAUCGGAGUCUGCAACCCGACUCCGUGAAGUUGGAUUCGCUAGUAAUCGCGCAUCAGCCAUGGCGCGGUGAAUACGUUCCCGGGCCUU
rnacentral:rRNA from 1 species